AAUAGAUACCCCGGUAGUCCACGCCGUAAACGAUGGAUACUAGCUGUUUGAGCGCAAGUUUGAGUGGCUAAGCGAAAGUGAUAAGUAUCCCACCUGGGGAGUACGGGCGCAAGCCUGAAACUCAAAGGAAUUGACGGGGGCCCGCACAAGCGGUGGAGCAUGUGGUUUAAUUCGAUGAUACGCGAGGAACCUUACCAGGGCUUAAAUGUAGAUUGACGUAUUUGGAAACAGAUAUUUCUUCGGACAAUUUACAAGGUGCUGCAUGGUUGUCGUCAGCUCGUGCCGUGAGGUGUCAGGUUAAGUCCUAUAACGAGCGCAACCCCUGUUGUUAGUUGCCAGCGAGUAAUGUCGGGAACUCUAGCAAGACUGCCAGUGUAAACUGUGAGGAAGGUGGGGAUGACGUCAAAUCAUCACGGCCCUUACGUCCUGGGCCACACACGUGCUACAAUGGCCGGUACAGAGAGCAGCCACUUAGCGAUAAGGAGCGAAUCUAUAAAAGCCGGUCACAGUUCGGAUCGGAGUCUGCAAC
rnacentral:rRNA from 1 species